rnacentral:tRNA from 1 species
GGCUCUGUAGUGUAGUGGUUAUCACUCAAGAUUCUGACGGCCGCUACCCGGUUUCCAACCGGGAUUUCAUUGGCUUACGUAACCAUUCUUGGAACCCCGGUUCGAAUCCGGGCAGGGCCU